GCCUCAUGGCAUUUUGUCUUUCUGCAGGGAAAGGAAGAUCAUGGAGACAACAAUUGCAAUACACGGUGGAGACCUCAACACCUCUUGAUUAAAAAAAAAAAAAAAUAGUUUAAUAAAAAAGAAGUUUCCUGAAGGAGUAGGAUAGAAUUUACCACAGAAAGAAAGUGGUAGUAUCUCCCUUUUCAAUUUAAGUGUUGUUCCCAGGCAGAUACAAGUACUUCUGAAAAUGCGUAGAUUGAAGAAAAAUGGUAUUUGGAGUCAUAGUUACUAAAUGAAGCUACAGCUCACCAUUAUCCUUGGGAUGAAGACUAUGACCCCCAGCAAAGUUACAAAGGAUUCUGCUCUGGAAUUGAGCAACUGCUUUGUUUGUUCUCUUAACAGGUAAAAAAUGCAGCUGCCAAUGUACUCAGGGAAACAUGGCUAAUUUACAAAAAUACAAAGCUAGUGAAAAAGAUAGAUCAUGCAAAAGUAAGAAAACAUCAACGAAAAUUCCUGCAAGCUAUUCAUCAAUUAAGAAGUGUAAAAAUGGAGCAGAGGAAACUGAAUGACCAAGCAAACACCUUGGUGGACUUGGCAAAGACCCAGAACAUCAUGUAUGAUAUGAUUUCUGACUUAAACGAAAGGAGUGAAGACUUCGAGAAGAGGAUUGUUACCCUGGAAACAAAAUUAGAGACUCUGAUUGGUAGCAUCCAUGCCCUCCCUGGGCUCAUAAGCCAGACCAUCAGGCAGCAGCAGAGAGAUUU
rnacentral:sRNA from 1 species